CCUUUAAGGGAGACCCAUUCGGGGAGUGGAGUGAAAAAAAAGUAGCUCCGGUCCGAAAAAUCCCGAAGGUCGAGCGAGUAGGUCAGAAACGAAGGCAUCCAAACUAAGUUUAGGUUCAUCCCACCCGAUUCGGGGGCGAGGGCUAUUAGCUCAGGUGGUUAGAGCGCACCCCUGAUAAGGGUGAGGUCCCUGGUUCGAGUCCAGGAUGGCCCACCUGAAAAGUGGGAGAAAAAAAGGAAGAAACGAACCGGCAUCUUAUCUGACCGCGCGUGAGAGAGAAUGCUGGAUUCGGAAGAAUCCAGAGAGGAACCUUGAAAACCGCAUAGAGCUAGGUGAGAAAGUAAAGUCGAAAGACGAGACUUCGGGAAAAAACCGA
rnacentral:tRNA from 1 species